UGUUACCCAGCUACUGGGUAGGAUAGGUCUUUUUACUCAGCUGUUUUGAACUUGGGACCUCCUAGCCACUAGGCUGUUUUGGGCUUUGCAGACUGCACAUUAUAUUACACUUGAUUCUAGCCAAAAGGCCAAGAAGCAAUUGCAAAUUAUAUUACAAAUUCCGUAGGCCUUUUUUACUUUGUAAAUAUUACAGUAGUAAAUCCUCCACUCCUCCCUGCCUUGAGAUUCUCCCUCUCUCUCCCUCAAGGUAGAAUAAUUGCUAACUGUUACAAGUUGGGUUCUCUGGGAAGCAGACUCUGAGACUGCCUUUAGUGUGAAGGAGGUUUAUUAGGGGGAGCCAUUGGGAUCAAUAACUGGAGACAGGCAGGAUUAGACAGAAGCAGAAGUCGAACUGUGAUGCAGGCUGGCAGAACCCAGCACCUGGGCUGACAUGGAUGCAUCAGACUUGUCCCACAUUGGGCCAAGAUGGCCUUGUCUCUUUACCCUCGCCUGACAGGUCAUGGGAUGUGGGCACA
rnacentral:lncRNA from 1 species